rnacentral:rRNA from 1 species
UACGUGGGGGGCAAGCGUUGUUCGGAAUUACUGGGCGUAAAGGGCUCGUAGGUGGCCCAUUAAGUCAGACGUGAAAUCCCCAGGCUCAACCUGGGAACUGCGUCUGAUACUGGUUGGCUUGAAUUCGGGAGAGGGAUGCAGAAUUCCAGGUGUAGCGGUGAAAUGCGUAGAUAUCUGGAGGAAUACCGGUGGCGAAGGCGGCAUCCUGGACCAAUAUUGACGCUGAGGAGCGAAAGCCAGGGGAGCAAACGGG